UGUUGUUAAAAACAGGUUCGUAGGGGGACCCCGGGAGGAUCAUUAAAAAAAAAUUAUAAUUUUUAAAAAGGUUUUUUUUUUUUUGUUUUGGCCAGAGCAUGAGAGCUUUUUCUGGGCAAGAAGACCAGAGAUGGAGAGUCCCACCGGGCCUGCGGUUAAGUGCGCGGUCUUGCUAGGCUUGUAAGUUUUUUUCUUGGUAUUUCCAACGGUGAGAGAUUUUUGUGCUUUUGUUAUAGGACAAUUAAAACCGUUUCAAUACAACCCCCUGUGGAGUUUUCAUAUUUUUGCAACUUUUUUUUUGGGCCUUUGAGCCAUCGGGGCCCCGAGGUUAACAAACACAAACAAUUUUAUUUAUUCAUUAAAUUUUUGUCAAAAACAAGAAUUUUCGUAACUGGAAAUUUUAAAAUAUUAAAAACUUUCAACAACGGAUCUCUUGGUUCUCGCAUCGAUGAAGAACGCAGCGAAAUGCGAUACGUAAUGUGAAUUGCAGAAUUCCGUGAAUCAUCGAAUCUUUGAACGCACAUUGCGCCCCUUGGUAUUCCAGGGGGCAUGCCUGUUUGAGCGUCAUUUCCUUCUCAAACAUUCUGUUUGGUAGUGAGUGAUACUCUUUGGAGUUAACUUGAAAUUGCUGGCCUUUUCAUUGGAUGUUUUUUUUUUCCAAAGAGAGGUUUCUCUGCGUGCUUGAGGUAUAAUGCAAGUACGGUCGUUUUAGGUUUUACCAACUGCGGCUAAUCUUUUUUAUACUGAGCGUAUUGGAACGUUAUCGAUAAGAAGAGAGCGUCUAGGCGAACAAUGUUCUUAAAGUUUGACCUCAAAUCAGGUAGGAGUACCCGCUGAACUUAAGCAUAUCAAUAAGCGGAGGAAAAGAAACCAACCGGGAUUGCCUUAGUAACGGCGAGUGAAGCGGCAAAAGCUCAAAUUUGAAAUCUGGUACCUUCGGUGCCCGAGUUGUAAUUUGGAGAGGGCAACUUUGGGGCCGUUCCUUGUCUAUGUUCCUUGGAACAGGACGUCAUAGAGGGUGAGAAUCCCGUGUGGCGAGGAGUGCGGUUCUUUGUAAAGUGCCUUCGAAGAGUCGAGUUGUUUGGGAAUGCAGCUCUAAGUGGGUGGUAAAUUCCAUCUAAAGCUAAAUAUUGGCGAGAGACCGAUAGCGAACAAGUACAGUGAUGGAAAGAUGAAAAGAACUUUGAAAAGAGAGUGAAAAAGUACGUGAAAUUGUUGAAAGGGAAGGGCAUUUGAUCAGACAUGGUGUUUUGUGCCCUCUGCUCCUUGUGGGUAGGGGAAUCUCGCAUUUCACUGGGCCAGCAUCAGUUUUGGUGGCAGGAUAAAUCCAUAGGAAUGUAGCUUGCCUCGGUAAGUAUUAUAGCCUGUGGGAAUACUGCCAGCUGGGACUGAGGACUGCGACGUAAGUCAAGGAUGCUGCAUAGCAGCCU
rnacentral:rRNA from 1 species